GACGAACGCUGGCGGCGCGCCUAACACAUGCAAGUCGAACGAGCGAGAGGGAGCUUGCUUUCUCGAGCGAGUGGCGAACGGGUGAGUAACGCGUGAGGAACCUGCCUCAAAGAGGGGGACAACAGUUGGAAACGGCUGCUAAUACCGCAUAAGCCCACGGCUCGGCAUCGAGCAGAGGAAAAGGAGCAAUCCGCUUUGAGAUGGCCUCGCGUCCGAUUAGCUAGUUGGUGAGGUAACGGCUCACCAAGUCGACGAUCGGUAGCCGGACUGAGAGGUUGAACGGCCACAUUGGAACUGAGAUACGGUCCAGACUCCUACGGGAGGCAGCAGUGGGGAAUAUUGGGCAAUGGGCGAAAGCCUGACCCAGCGACGCCGCGUGAGGGAAGAAGGUCUUCGGAUUGUAAACCUUAAAUAACAGGGACGAAAGAAAUGACGGUACCUGUUGGGAAGCCACGGCUAACUACGUG
rnacentral:rRNA from 1 species